rnacentral:rRNA from 1 species
ACGUUAGCGGCGGACGGGUGAGUAACACGUGGGUAACCUACCUAUAAGACUGGGAUAACUUCGGGAAACCGGAGCUAAUACCGGAUAAUAUUUCGAACCGCAUGGUUCGAUAGUGAAAGGUGGUUUUGCUAUCACUUAUAGAUGGACCCGCGCCGUAUUAGCUAGUUGGUAAGGUAACGGCUUACCAAGGCGACGAUACGUAGCCGACCUGAGAGGGUGAUCGGCCACACUGGAACUGAGACACGGUCCAGACUCCUACGGGAGGCAGCAGAU